GACGACGCUAGGUGGCCGGGGAGCCGUCCGCAUCCGGAGCGGGCGGGCCCGACGGCUCGUCGCGCAGGCGCGGCUCCGUGCGGCGCGCCGGCACCA
rnacentral:tRNA from 1 species